rnacentral:rRNA from 1 species
UCCUGGCUCAGAACGAACGCUGGCGGCGCGUCUUAAGCAUGCAAGUCGAACGGCAAGAGGUAGCAAUACCUCCUAGAGUGGCGGACUGGUGAGUAACACGUGGGUGACAUACCCUUCAGAUGGGGAUAGCUAUUAGAAAUAGUAGAUAAUACCGAAUACGAGCACAGGGGUUAGAGAUCUGUGAGGAAAGGAGCUAAGGCUCCGCUGAAGGAAUGGCCUGCGGCCCAUUAGCUAGUUGGUGAGGUAAGAGCCCACCAAGGCGAUGAUGGGUAUCCGGCCUUAGAGGGUGAACGGACACAUUGGGACUGAGAUACGGCCCAGACUCCUACGGGAGGCAGCAGCUAAGAAUAUUCCGCAAUGGACGAAAGUCUGACGGAGCGACGCCGCGUGGAUGAAGAAGGCCGGAAGGUUGUAAAAUCCUUUUGAAACUGAAGAAUAAGCGUUGUAGGGAAUGACAGCGUGGUGACAGUAGGUUUUGAAUAAGCAACGGCUAAUUACGUGCCAGCCGCUGC